rnacentral:rRNA from 1 species
GAGGAUUUGAUUCUGGCUCCAGAUUGAACGCUGGCGGGAUGCUUCCACAUGCAAGUCGAACGGCACGGACUUCGUCUGGUGGCGAGUGGCGAACGGGUGAGUAAUGUAUCGGAACGUGCCUAGUAGCGGGGAUAACUGCGCGGCGUAGCUAAUACCGCAUACGCCCUUCGGGGAAAGCGGGGGACCUUCGGGCCUCGCACUGGAAGCGGCCGAUAUCGGAUUAGCUAGUUGGUGGGGUAACGGCUCACCAAGGCGACGAUCCGUAGCUGGUUGAAGGACGACCAGCCACACUGGGACUGAGACACGGCGAAUACAGGAGGCGGCAGUGGGGAAUUUUUGGACAAUGGGGAAACCUGAUCCAGCCAUCCCGCGUGUGCGAUGAAGGCCUUCCCAGGUUAAUAAAGCACUUUUGGCAGGAAAGAAACGGCACGGGAUAUUACCCCCGUGCAACUGACGUACCUGCAGAAUAGCUUUCCGGCCAAUAACUACAUUGCCAGCAGCCGCGGUAAUACGUAGAAGAUUGCAAGCGUUAAUCGGAAUUACUGGGCGUAAAGCGUGCGCAGGCGGUUCGGAAAGAAGAUGUGAAAUCCCGGAAGCAGCACGAACUGCAUUUUAACUACCGAGCUAGAGUGUGUCAGAGGGAGGUGGAAUUCCUGUCCGUAGCAGUGAAAUGCGUAGAUAUGCGGAGGAACACCGAUGGCGAAGGCAGCCUCCUGGGGAUAACGCUGACGCUCAUGCACAAGCGUGGGAGCAAACAGGAUUAGAUACCCUGUUAGUCCCACGCCUAAACAGUGUCAACUAGCUGUUGGGGCCUUCGGGCCUUGGUAGCGCAGCUAACGCGUGAAGUUGACCGCCUGCGCAAGUGCAGUCACCCAAGAUUAAAAACUCCAAAAGGAAUUGACAGGGACCCGCACAAGCGGUGGAUGAUGUGGAUUAAUUCGAUGCAACGCGAAAAACCUUACCUACCCUUGACAUGUCUGGAAUCCCGAAGAGAUUUAGGUACUCGCAAAGAGAGGGCUUGGAACACAGGUGCUGCAUGGCUGUCGUCAGCUCGUGUCGUGAGAUGUUGCGGGUUAAGUCCUGGCGAGCGCAACCCUUGUCGAUAGUUGCUACGGAGAAGACUCUAUUAGGACUGCCGGUGACAAACCGGAGGAAGGUGGGGAUGACGUCAGAGUCUCAUGGCCCUUAUGGUGGGGCUUCACGUCAUACAAUGGUCGGGACAGAGGGUCGCCAACCCGCGAGGGCAUCCAAUCAAGGCGAUCGUAGUCCGGACCGCAGUCUGCAACUCGACUGCGUGAAGUCGGAAUCGCUAGUAAUCGCGGAUCAACUGUCGCGGUGAAUACGUUCCCGGGUCUUGUACACACCGCCCGUCACCAUGGGAGUGGGUUUACCAGAAGUAGUUAGCCUAACCGUAAGGGCGAUUACCACGGUAGGAUUCAUGACUGGGGUGAAGUCGUAACAAAGGUAA